rnacentral:tRNA from 1 species
ACCGAAAAAGCUCAGUUGGGAGAGCGUUAGACUAUAAAUCGAAAAGUUCCUGGUUCGAUCUCGGGAUUUGGUA